rnacentral:tRNA from 1 species
GGUUCCAUGCUGUAAUGGUUAGCACUCUGGACUCUGAAUCCAGCGAUCCAAGUUCAGAUCUCUGUAGAACCU